UGAGGAAUUUUGCGCAAUGGGGGAAACCCUGACGCAGCAACGCCGCGUGAGUGGUGAAGGCCUUCGGGUCGUAAAGCUCUGUCAAGUGGGAAGAACCUGCCCGAUGUUAAUACCAUUGGGCAUUGACGGUACCACUGAAGGAAGCACCGGCUAACUCCGUGCCAGCAGCCGCGGUAAUACGGGGGGUGCUAGCGUUAUUCUGAAUCAUUGGGCGUAAAGGGCGCGUAGGCGGUCUUUUAAGUCAGGUGUGAAAGCCCUCGGCUUAACCGAGGAAGUGCAUUUGAUACUAAAAGACUUGAGUAUGGGAGAGGGAAGCGGAAUUCCUGGUGUAGCGGUGAAAUGCGUAGAUAUCAGGAGGAACACCGGUGGCGAAGGCGGCUUCCUGGACCAAUACUGACGCUGAGGCGCGAAGGCGUGGGGAGCAAACAGGAUUAGAUACCCUGGUAGUCCACGCAGUAAACUGUGAACACUAGGUGUAGCGGGUAUUGACCCCUGCUGUGCCGAAG
rnacentral:rRNA from 1 species